UGAGGAAUCUUGCACAAUGGGCGAAAGCCUGAUGCAGCGACGCCGCGUGGAGGAUGACGGUCUUAGGAUUGUAAACUCCUGUUAAGUGGGAAGAAAUGCCUAUCCCUAAUAUGGAUAGGUGAUGACGGUACCAUUAGAGAAAGCACCGGCUAACUUCGUGCCAGCAGCCGCGGUAAUACGAGGGGUGCGAGCGUUAUUCGGAAUUAUUGGGCGUACAGGGCGCGUAGACGGCCUGCUAAGUCAACUGUUAAAUUCCCCGGCCUAACUGGGGACCAGCAGUAGAUACUGGCGAGCUAGAGGAUGGAAGAGAGAAGUGGAAUUCUCGGAGUAGCGGUAAAAUGCGUAGAUCUCGAGAGGAACACCGAUGGCGAAGGCAGCUUCUUGGUCCAUAUCUGACGUUGAGGCGCGAAAGCGUGGGGAGCAAACAGG
rnacentral:rRNA from 1 species